rnacentral:rRNA from 1 species
GUAGAGCGGCGAACGGGUGAGUAACACGUGGACAACCUGCCUGGGAGCGGGGGAUAACCUGGGGAAACUCGGGCUAAUACCGCAUACGCUCGUCGAGCUCCGGCUCGGCGAGGAAAGCUGGCCUCUGCUUGCAAGCUGGCGCUCCCAGAGGGGUCCGCGCCUGAUUAGCUGGUUGGUGAGGUAACGGCUCACCAAGGCGACGAUCAGUAGCCGGCCUGAGAGGGCGAUCGGCCACACUGGAACUGAGACACGGUCCAGACUCCUACGGGAGGCAGCAGUGGGGAAUAUUGGACAAUGGGCGCAAGCCUGAUCCAGCAACGCCGCGUGGAGGACGAAGGCCUUCGGGUCGUAAACUCCUGUCAGGAGGGAAGAAAGGACGCCGGUGAAUAGCCGGUGUCCUUGACGGUACCUCCAGAGGAAGCCCCGGCUAACUCCGUGCCAGCAGCCGCGGUAAUACGGAG